AGUGAACGCUGGCGGCGUGCUUAACACAUGCAAGUCGAACGAGAACGGAUUAUAGCUUGCUAUAAUUGUCAGCUGAGUGGCGCACGGGUGAGUAAUGUAUAGGUAAUAUGCCUCUUACUAAGGGAUAACAAAUGGAAACGUUUGCUAAUACCUUAUACUCCUUAUUAACAGAAGUUAAGAAGGGAAAGAUUUAUUGGUAAGAGAUUAGCCUGUAUUGUAUCAGUUAGUUGGUGGGGUAAUGGCUUACCAAGACUAUGACACAUAACUGGUUUGAGAGGAUGAUCAGUCACACUGGAACUGAGACACGGUCCAGACUCCUACGGGAGGCAGCAGUGGGGAAUAUUGCACAAUGGACGAAAGUCUGAUGCAGCAACGCCGCGUGGAGGAUGACACAUUUCGGUGCGUAAACUCCUUUUAUAUGAGAAGAUAAUGACGGUAUUAUAUGAAUAAGCACCGGCUAACUCCGUGCCAGCCGCCGCGGUAA
rnacentral:rRNA from 1 species